AGCGAACGCUGGCGGCAGGCCUAACACAUGCAAGUCGAACGAAGUCUUCGGACUUAGUGGCGGACGGGUGAGUAACACGUGGGAACGUGCCUUUAGGUUCGGAAUAACUCAGGGAAACUUGUGCUAAUACCGAAUGUGCCCUUCGGGGGAAAGAUUUAUCGCCUUUAGAGCGGCCCGCGUCUGAUUAGCUAGUUGGUGGGGUAAUGGCCCACCAAGGCUACGAUCAGUAGCUGGUCUGAGAGGAUGACCAGCCACAUUGGGACUGAGACACGGCCCAAACUCCUACGGGAGGCAGCAGUGGGGAAUCUUGCGCAAUGGGCGAAAGCCUGACGCAGCCAUGCCGCGUGGAUGAUGAAGGUCUUAGGAUUGUAAAAUCCUUUCACCGGUGAAGAUAAUGACUGUAGCCGGAGAAGAAGCCCCGGCUAACUUCGUGCCAGCCGCUGCGGUAAAAC
rnacentral:rRNA from 1 species